AAGUCGUAACAAGGUUUCCGUAGGUGAACCUGCGGAAGGAUCAUUAACAAAAUCAAAACCACCCACACACCCUGUUGACAGCUGCGCUCCCCCUUUCCGCGCGAGAGGGGGAGGGCGACCUCUUUUCGUUUUUGGUUUUUCGCGAAAUCAAAGGCGAGAGAGUCUAUGAAAACACGAUCAUGAUGACCAAAAGCAACAACGAGUAAAGAGAAACAACUUUUAACAAUGGAUCUCUUGGCUCUU
rnacentral:misc_RNA from 1 species